GCUGGGCAUGGUGGGGGGUGCCUGUAAUCCCAGCUACUCAGGAGGCUGAGGCAGGAGAAUCGCUUGAACCCAGGAGGCGGAGGUUGCAGUGAGCCGAGAUCGCACCACUGCACUCCAGCCUGGGAGACAGAGCGAGACUCUGCCUCAA
rnacentral:sRNA from 1 species